UACGAAGGGGGCUAGCGUUGUUCGGAAUUACUGGGCGUAAAGCGCACGUAGGCGGAUAUUUAAGUCAGGGGUGAAAUCCCAGAGCUCAACUCUGGAACUGCCUUUUGAUACUGGGUAUCUUGAGUAUGGAAGAGGUAAGUGGAAUUGCGAGUGUAGAGGUGAAAUUCGUAGAUAUUCGCAGGAACACCAGUGGCGAAGGCGGCUUACUGGUCCAUUACUGACGCUGAGGUGCGAAAGCGUGGGGAGCAAACAGG
rnacentral:rRNA from 1 species